GGGCACUCUCAGCAUCUCCCCGGAGCCACUGGGCUUGGCUUUGUUAUGCGGCUUGUGGCACAAGGGCGGUUUCUCUCUGCCAUAGAAAAACAACCUACCUCUUGCGGGGNGGGGGGGGGGGGGGGGGGGGGGGGGGGUGCUUCUCAACUCAGAGGUCUUUAGUGACUUAGUGGGGAAGAAAAAGAACUCUUAUCUCUGCAGCGCAGACAGGGAGUCUUAGAGGUGGGAAGAAAGAAGACGGCCAGUAGCUGGAACCGCGGAGGGAUGGGAUUCAGACAGAAGUGCGAGCAGCAUGGUGACGUCACACAUCUGCAGGGUCUGGGGUCUCCAGUGCCCCCCAGCCCCGCGCACCCCCACAAGCGCCACCUCCAUCACCCCAAAUCAUGCCUCUUCACAGCCUCCAUGGCACACCUCCGCAAAAAACCCGCAACGCCUUUCCAGUGCCCUGAGCAGAAAUUAAGACCCUCCAGCAGGGCUGGCGAGGGCCUCCCUCAGCUGGCUUUGGCCAACCACCUGGCUCCCGUCUCCGGCCACACCAGGUCCCCUCCCCCGUGGAUGCUAAGCUGACGGGGCCUCCCCAUCAGGGCAGGCACAGCCCUCAUACUGGAGUCUGAGCUGCCGCCUCUGCCUGAAACACCUUUUUCCUUCGCGUCCACUUAUAAAGCACAGCGGUUCAGGAUUCGGCUCAAACACUGACACUCCCCUGACCCCAGCGCCCCCCUGCCCCACGCACACAUCUCCCUGUGUCUGACUUCAGGUCCCCCUCCUGGGUCUGGCAGCAGCCUACUCGGUCCCCUUUCAGAAAAGUCACUUCACUACAUUAUCACCAUUGAUGCAACUAAACCUUAAGCAAUUACAGCACUAGGACCUGCUCAGCCACACACAGCCUGACACACCGCAGGCCGAACAAACUUCCACAGAUUUUCCUAAUUUAUUCGCAUUGCUGGAAUCAGAUGAGAUGAUGACGGAAUAUGUGGUAACCUGAAAAUAACUAUAUAAGCUACAUGCGCUACUUCUAGUGGCUCCUGAAAUAAAGAGAAUUUCGCCCAAAGCCCAUUGCAAGGCAUCUCUGCCAAAAGAAACGUCAGACAAUUUAAAAAUGCUAUUUCUUAUCAGCACUUAUCAACAGCUUUUUUUUAUAGUGGAAAGUUUUGUUCGUUUAAUCUGUGUGUAUAGGUGUGAUUUUGUUUUUAUUUUUAUUCCUGCCUUGUUUCAAAAAAAUAAAAAAAUAAAAGAUUUUGAAGCAACUUUUUAAGGCAUUAACAUAUUUCCUUCCACCCCAACCUUGCCAAACGAGUAAAAAUGUCACAGUACCUGAAAUUGUGGAAUGUUCAGAAAACUGUUUGGAGCAGAGCAGUUUUGCUGGGAGUUUUGCUGACUGGGGUCCACAGUGCUGAGCAGAGGGGUGAUGAUGGCAGGUGAUCUCAGGGUUUAUACUCGGUCCAGGCUGAGGAGAGAUUUGAAAAUGGUAAAACCCAGGCUGUUGAAUCCCUUUUGGAAAGACAUGUUCAGACUAGCUUAGACACUCAAAAGUUAUUACUUUUAUCAUAACUUACCAUGUACCCUGUAUUAAAUGCUUUCCCUGAAUAUUCUUUUAAAAUAUCAGCAGAAGGAAGUGCCAACUGGUUCCCAAUUUGGCGGGGGGGGUGGGGGUGGGGGGGUGGAGCCACACCCAUGGCAUUUAGAAGUUCCCCAGCAAGGGACUGAACCUGCGCCACAGCAGUGACCCAAGCUGAUGCAGUGACAACAACAGAUCCUUAACCCACUGUGCCACCAGGGAACUCCAACUGACUCUCAAUUACGCCUUUGAAGAACCAUCUUUCAGUGAGAUGAACUGGCUUGCCCCAGCCUCUGGGUAGGAGCCAUGCUUAGGCCUCUAUGCCCCACAUCUGAGACACUCAACCACUGUGCUAAAUACCUGCCCUGGUCUGUUUCAUCUCGCCUCUGACAUCCGCCCUGAGGUGUGAACUACGACAGACGUGGCA
rnacentral:lncRNA from 1 species